CAGCGCCACGAGUGGCAAUCAUGUUUAUUGGGCCUAAAGCGUCCGUAGCUGGUUUGAUAAAUCCUUUGUGAAAUUGUUGUGCCUAACAUAACGAAUGGCAGGGGACACUAUCGAACUUGGAACCGGUGAGGGGUCAGAGGUAUGCUUGGGGGAGCGGUAAAAUGCUGUAAUCCCUAGUAGACCACCUGUGGCGAAGGCGUCUGACUAGAACGGGUUCGACAGUGAGGGACGAAAGCCAGGGGAGCGAUCCGGAUUAGAUACCCGAGUAGUCC
rnacentral:rRNA from 1 species